rnacentral:rRNA from 1 species
UACGUAGGGCGCAAGCGUUGUCCGGAAUUAUUGGGCGUAAAGAGCUCGUAGGCGGCCUGUUGCGUCCGCUGUGAAAUCCCGGGGCUCAACCCCGGGCCUGCAGUGGAUACGGGCUGGCUAGAGGCAGGCAGGGGAAAACGGAAUUCCUGGUGUAGCGGUGAAAUGCGGCAGAUAUCAGGAGGAACACCGGUGGCGAAGGCGGGUCUCGUGGGCCGAUGACUGACGCUGGAGGCACGAAAGCGUGGGGAGCAAACAGG